AGAGUUUGAUCCUGGCUCAGAUUGAACGCUGGCGGCAUGCCUUACACAUGCAAGUCGAACGGUAACAGGUUAAGCUGACGAGUGGCGAACGGGUGAGUAAUGUAUCGGAACGUGCCCAGUCGUGGGGGAUAACUACUCGAAAGAGUGGCUAAUACCGCAUGAGACCUGAGGGUGAAAGCGGGGGAUCGCAAGACCUCGCGCGAUUGGAGCGGCCGAUAUCAGAUUAGCUAGUUGGCGGGGUAAAAGCCCACCAAGGCGACGAUCUGUAGCUGGUCUGAGAGGACGACCAGCCACACUGGGACUGAGACACGGCCCAGACUCCUACGGGAGGCAGCAGUGGGGAAUUUUGGACAAUGGACGAAAGUCUGAUCCAGCCAUGCCGCGUGCGGGAAGAAGGCCUUCGGGUUGUAAACCGCUUUUGUCAGGGAAGAAACGACGUCCUCUAAUACAGGGUGUUAAUGACGGUACCUGAAGAAUAAGCACCGGCUAACUACGUGCCAGCAGCCGCGGUAAUACGUAGGGUGCAAGCGUUAAUCGGAAUUACUGGGCGUAAAGCGUGCGCAGGCGGUUAUGCAAGACAGAUGUGAAAUCCCCGGGCUCAACCUGGGAACUGCAUUUGUGACUGCAUGGCUAGAGUACGGUAGAGGGGGAUGGAAUUCCGCGUGUAGCAGUGAAAUGCGUAGAUAUGCGGAGGAACACCGAUGGCGAAGGCAAUCCCCUGGACCUGUACUGACGCUCAUGCACGAAAGCGUGGGGAGCAAACAGGAUUAGAUACCCUGGUAGUCCACGCCCUAAACGAUGUCAACUGGUUGUUGGGAGGGUUUCUUCUCAGUAACGUAGCUAACGCGUGAAGUUGACCGCCUGGGGAGUACGGCCGCAAGGUUGAAGCUCAAAGGAAUUGACGGGGACCCGCACAAGCGGUGGAUGAUGUGGUUUAAUUCGAUGCAACGCGAAAAACCUUACCUACCCUUGACAUGUCUGGAAUCCUGAAGAGAUUUGGGAGUGCUCGAAAGAGAGCCAGAACACAGGUGCUGCAUGGCCGUCGUCAGCUCGUGUCGUGAGAUGUUGGGUUAAGUCCCGCAACGAGCGCAACCCUUGUCAUUAGUUGCUACGAAAGGGCACUCUAAUGAGACUGCCGGUGACAAACCGGAGGAAGGUGGGGAUGACGUCAGGUCAUCAUGGCCCUUAUGGGUAGGGCUACACACGUCAUACAAUGGCCGGUACAGAGGGCUGCCAACCCGCGAGGGGGAGCCAAUCCCAGAAAACCGGUCGUAGUCCGGAUCGUAGUCUGCAACUCGACUGCGUGAAGUCGGAAUCGCUAGUAAUCGCGGAUCAGCUUGCCGCGGUGAAUACGUUCCCGGGUCUUGUACACACCGCCCGUCACACCAUGGGAGCGGGUUCUGCCAGAAGUAGUUAGCCUAACCGCAAGGGGGGCGAUUACCACGGCAGGGUUCGUGACUGGGGUGAAGUCGUAACAAGGUA
rnacentral:rRNA from 1 species